CUACGGGGCGCAGCAGUGAGGAAUUUUGCGCAAUGGGGGCAACCCUGACGCAGCAACGCCGCGUGAGUGAAGAAGGCCUUUGGGUCGUAAAACUCUGUCAAUGGGGAAGAAGUUAUUAAUUUUAAAUAGAGAUUAGUAUUGACGGUACCCAUGAAGGAAGCACCGGCUAACUCCGUGCCAGCAGCCGCGGUAAUACGGGGGGUGCAAGCGUUAUUCGGAAUUAUUGGGCGUAAAGGGCACGCAGGCGGUCUUGCCAGUCAGAUGUGAAAGCCCGGGGCUCAACCCUGGAAGUGCAUUUGAAACUACAAGACUUGAGUACGGUAGAGGAAAGGGGAAUUCCUGGUGUAGAGGUGAAAUUCGUAGAUAUCAGGAGGAACACCGGUGGCGAAGGCGCCUUUCUGGACCGAAACUGACGCUGAGGUGCGAAGGCGUGGGUAGCGAACAGGAUUAGAUACCCUUGUAGUC
rnacentral:rRNA from 1 species